rnacentral:rRNA from 1 species
GAUGCUUACACCUACCAAAGCAUCCGCCCGAGAACUACGAGCACCAACGCUUGAAACUCUAAGGACUUGGCGGUGCCCCAAACCCACCUAGAGGAGCCUGUUCUGUAAUCGAUGAUCCACGAUAUACCUGACCAUUCCUUGCCAAAACAGCCUACAUACCGCCGUCGCCAGCUCACCUCCACUGAAAGCCCAACAGUGAGCACAACAGCCCCACCACGCUAACAAGACAGGUCAAGGUAUAGCCUAUGGAAUGGUAGUAAUGGGCUACAUUUUCUAAACUAGAACACAACGGCAAAGGGAUCUGAAACGGCCCCUGGAAGGCGGAUUUAGCAGUAAAGUGGGAUAAUCGAGCCCUCUUUAAGCCGGCCCUGGGGCACGUACAUACCGCCCGUCACCCUCCUCGUAGGCGCCCCCCCCCCCCC